rnacentral:rRNA from 1 species
UCUACGGGAGGCAGCAGUGGGGAAUAUUGGACAAUGGGCGCAAGCCUGAUCCAGCCAUGCCGCGUGUGUGAAGAAGGCCUUUUGGUUGUAAAGCACUUUAAGCGAGGAGGAGGCUACUUGGAUUAAUACUCUAGGAUAGUGGACGUUACUCGCAGAAUAAGCACCGGCUAACUCUGUGCCAGCAGCCGCGGUAAUACAGA